AACGAACGCUGGCGGCAGGCUUAACACAUGCAAGUCGAGCGCCCCGCAAGGGGAGCGGCAGACGGGUGAGUAACGCGUGGGAAUCUACCGUGCCCUAAGGAAUAGCUCCGGGAAACUGGAAUUAAUACCUUAUACGCCCUUUGGGGGAAAGAUUUAUCGGGGUAUGAUGAGCCCGCGUUGGAUUAGCUAGUUGGUGGGGUAAAGGCCUACCAAGGCGACGAUCCAUAGCUGGUCUGAGAGGAUGAUCAGCCACAUUGGGACUGAGACACGGCCCAAACUCCUACGGGAGGCAGCAGUGGGGAAUAUUGGACAAUGGGCGCAAGCCUGAUCCAGCCAUGCCGCGUGAGUGAUGAAGGCCCUAGGGUUGUAAAGCUCUUUCACCGGUGGAGAUAAUGACGGUAACCGGAGAAGAAGCCCCGGCUAACUUCGUGCCAGCAGCCGCCGUAA
rnacentral:rRNA from 1 species